rnacentral:rRNA from 1 species
GAAGGCAGGUUACUAAGCAACAACUGACGNUGAUGGACGAAAGCGUGGGGAGNGAACAGGAUUAGAUACCCUGGUAGUNCACGCCGUAAACGAUGCUAACUCGUUUUUGGAAUGUAAGUUUCAGAGACUAAGCGAAAGUGAUAAGUUAGCCACCUGGGGAGUACGAACGCAAGUUUGAAACUCAAAGGAAUUGACGGGGGCCCGCACAAGCGGUGGAUUAUGUGGUUUAAUUCGAUGAUACGCGAGGAGCCUUACCAAGGCUUAAAUGGGAAAUGACAGGUUUAGAAAUAGACUUUUCUUCGGACAUUUUUCAAGGUGCUGCAUGGUUGUCGUCAGCUCGUGCCGUGAGGUGUUAGGUUAAGUCCUGCAACGAGCGCAACCCCUGUCACUAGUUGCCAUCAUUAAGUUGGGGACUCUAGUGAGACUGCCUACGCAAGUAGAGAGGAAGGUGGGGAUGACGUCAAAUCAUCACGGCCCUUACGCCUUGGGCCACACACGUAAUACAAUGGCCGGUACAGAGGGCAGCUACACUGCGAAGUGAUGCAAAUCUCGAAAGCCGGUCUCAGUUCGGAUUGGAGUCUGCAACUCGACUCUAUGAAGCUGGAAUCGCUAGUAAUCGCGCAUCAGCCAUGGCGCGGUGAAUACGUUCCCGGGCCUUGUACACACCGCCCGUCAAGCCAUGGAAGUCUGGGGUACCUGAAGUCGGUGACCGUAACAGGAGCUGCCUAGGGUAAAACAGGUAACUAGGGCU